GGAAAGGUGAAAAGAACCCCGAACAGGGGAGUGAAAUAGAACCUGAAACCAUACGCUUACAACCGGUCGGAGCAGCUUCGUGCUGUGACGGCGUGCCUAUUGAAUAAUGAGCCUACGAGUUACUAAUCACUAGCGAGGUUAAGUGCAAGGAUGCACGGAGCCGAAGCGAAAGCGAGUCUGAACAGGGCGUUUAGUUAGUGGUUGUAGACGCGAAACCUUGCGAUCUACCCUUGAGCAGGUUGAAGGUUGGGUAAAACCAACUGGAGGACCGAACGAAUAAGCGUUGAAAAGCUUCUCGAUGACUUGAGGGUAGGGGUGAAAGGCUAAUCAAGCUGGGAAAUAGCUCGUACUCCCCGAAAUGCCUUUAGGGGCAGCGUUGUAAUAAAGAGUCUACUGGAGGUAGAGCUACUGAUUGGAUGCGGGGGCUUCACCGCCUACCAAAUCCUGACAAACUCCGAAUGCCAGUAGUAUGAUUUACAGCAGUGAGCGACCGGGUGCUAAUGUCCGGUUACGAGAGUGGAACAACACAGACCAGCAACUAAGGUCCCCAAGAGUAUACUAAGUUGAUCUAACGAUGUUUUGUUGCAGAGACAGCUAGGAUGUUAGCUUGGAAGCAGCUAUUCAUUCAAAGAGUGCGUAACAGCUCACUAGUCGAGCGACAAAGCGUGGAUAAUAAACGGGCAUCAAGUAUACCACCGAAGUUCUGGGCACGAAAGUGCGGUAGGGGAGCAUUCCAUUCAGCGUCGAAGCCGAAUCGUGAGAUUUGGUGGAGCGUAUGGAAAAGCAAAUGUAGGCAUGAGUAACGAUAAUGCGGGAGAGUAACCCGCACACCGCAAGACCAAGGUUUCCUGAUCAACGCUAAUCGGAUCAGGGUUAGUCGGGUCCUAAGGGUAAGCCGAACGGUGAUCUCGAUGGAUAAUCGGUUAAUAUUCCGAUACUGACAUAUACCUCGAUGGAGAGACGAAGGAACGUAAGUGCCGCCACCUGACGGAAUAGGUGGUUAAAGGGCUUAGGUAUAGGGACAGAUUAAGAGUUAGUCCUUGCUGAAACCUGACAGUACAGAGAGCCUACGGGCAAUUUGAUAGUGCACCCAAGUCGACUUCCGAGAAAAUCUUCUAAGUUAUAGUAUAUGUCACCCGUACCGUAAACCGACACAGGUGGUCGAGGAGAGUAUCCUAAGGUGCUCGAGUGAAUCACGGUUAAGGAACUAGGCAAAUUAACCCCGUAACUUCGGGAAAAGGGGUCCCUAUGAAAGUAGGGCGCAGCGAAGAGGUCCAGGCGACUGUUUAUCAAAAACACAGGGCUCUGCAAAUUCGAAAGAAGACGUAUAGGGCCUGACACCUGCCCGGUGCUGGAAGGUUAAGAGGGGAUGUCAUCGCAAGAGAAGCAUUGAAUCGAAGCCCCAGUAAACGGCGGCCGUAACUAUAACGGUCCUAAGGUAGCGAAAUUCCUUGUCGGGUAAGUUCCGACCUGCACGAAUGGUGUAACGAUCUGGACACUGUCUCAACCGUGAGCUCGGUGAAAUUGUAGUCCCGGUGAUGAUGCCGGGUACCCGCAACGGGACGAAAAGACCCCGUGAACCUUUACUAUAGCUUAACGCUGAAUUUGGGUACACAAUGUGUAGGAUAGGC
rnacentral:rRNA from 1 species